UACGUAGGUGGCGAGCGUUGUCCGGAUUUACUGGGCGUAAAGAGCGCGCAGGCGGUCGUUCAAGUCGCGUGUGAAAGCCCCCGGCUCAACUGGGGAGGGUCACGCGAUACUGAUCGACUCGAAGGCAGGAGAGGGAAGUGGAAUUCCCGGUGUAGUGGUGAAAUGCGUAGAUAUCGGGAGGAACACCAGUGGCGAAGGCGGCCUGCUGGGCAGUGGCUGACACUGAGGCGCGAAAGCGUGGGGAGCAAACAGG
rnacentral:rRNA from 1 species